rnacentral:rRNA from 1 species
GCAAGUCGAGCGCGCCCUUCGGGGUGAGCGGCGGACGGGUGAGUAACGCGUAAGAAUCUACCUGGUAGUGGGGGACAACAUGGUGAAAACCAUGCUAAUACCGCAUACGCCCCAAGGGGGAAAGCGGGGGAUCUUCGGACCUCGUGCUAUUGGAUGAGCCUGCGUAGGAUUAGCUUGUUGGUGAGGUAAAAGCUCACCAAGGCGACGAUCCUUAGCUGGUCUGAGAGGAUGAUC